CGCACAUUGCGCCCUUUGGUAUUCCGAAGGGCAUGCCCGUUCGAGCGUCAUUUCACCAAUCAAGCCUGGCUUGGUGUUGGGCCGCGGGGAGACCCGGGCCCCAAAGUUCGCCGGCCGGUCGUCUCGGAUCUCAGCGUUGUGGCAUCAAAACCCGCGGAGAGAUGGGGCGGACGCGCCGUGAAACUCUUUCACAGGUUGACCUCGGAUCGGGUAGGGAUACCCGCUGAACUUAA
rnacentral:misc_RNA from 1 species